UACGUAGGGUGCGAGCGUUGUCCGGAUUCACUGGGUGUAAAGGGAGCGCAGGCGGAUUGGCAAGUCAUUGGUGAAAUUCUCAGGCUCAACUUGAGAACGUACAAUGAUACUGCCAAUCUUGAGUGCGGAAGAGAAAGACGGAAUUCCUGGUGUAGCGGUGAAAUGCGUAGAUAUCAGGAAGAACACCGGUGGCGAAGGCGGUCUUUUGGUCCGUUACUGACGCUCAUGCUCGAAAGCGUGGGGAGCAAACAGG
rnacentral:rRNA from 1 species